GUGCCAGGUGAAGAAUUGCCAUCGCAGCUUACGCACAGAGAGCUCUAUGCUCUUAUUCCUUUCGCUGUGGGGAAACUUCCCGGAGAGGCUUGGAUGAUGGAAAGGCACAAAGACAUGAGCGCCCUCCUCACUCCUUCAUUGCUCCUUACAAAAAACACAGUCAUGCGAUUGUCUCAUCAACUUGACGGGGGCUUACUCUCAUCUGGCA
rnacentral:RNase_MRP_RNA from 2 species